AGAUUAGUAAUUUAUAGAGAAUAUAUAAUUUGCAAUUAUAAAGUGUAUUAUACCUUUUCUA
rnacentral:tRNA from 1 species